UAGUCAUAUGCUUGUCUCAAAAAUUAACCCAUGCAUGUCUAAUUAUAAGCUGAUUAUCCGGUAAACCUGCAAAGGGUUCUUUAAACCAUUUAUAUUUUAUUUGAUGGUCCCUACUACUCGAAUAACCGUAGUAAUUCUAGAGCUAAUACGUGCGCACCUCCCGACUUCUGGAAGGAACGUUUUUAUUAUAUAAAAAACCACCCCCCUUCGGGCGUUUUAUGGUAAAUCAUGAUAACUUGUCGAAUCACUUGCCCUUUGUGCCGGCAACGUUUCAUUCAAUUUUCUGCCCUAUCACCUUCCAAUGGUAGGAUAGAGGCCUACCAUGGUGUUAACGGGUGACGAAAAAUUAGGGUUCGAUUCCGGAAAGGGAGCCUGAAAAACGGCUACCACAUCCAAGGAAGGCAGCAGGCCCGCAAAUUACCCAAUCCUGACACAGGGAGGUAGUGACAAUAAAUACCAAUACCGGGCUUUUUCAAGUCUGGUAUUUGAAAUGAAAACAACCUAAAUCCCUUAACGAGGAUCCUUU
rnacentral:rRNA from 1 species